UCCUUUCUUAUCAACAGUCGCUUUCGUGGCUCUAUCCUGGAGCUGCGGGGAAGCCCAGAAUGGUUCUUGUGGUACUUGCCCGAAUGGUGGCAAACCUGCUUGUGGCGUUAAUAUGAGAACCAACGCUCUAGUGCUUUUCACAAAUCAAUGAUACAUGGACCUAUACAAGUGUUUGUCUGGAAACGACUAUCGAUUCGUCAGGUAUGAUGAUUGUCCAGAUAAGUCGGAAUGCAAACUGUGCGACUUUUCUAAAAACGAUAAAAACUGAAACAUUAGCCAAAAUGAUUGUAAUAAUUUUGAUUCCUUCAUUUUACAGUUUUGAAAACCCUGAGUAAUGUCAAAGUGAAUUAGGAAAUCUAGAGAACCAUUUUAAUAUGAUUGCAAAAUACUUGGAACAAUUUACUUAUAUAACAAUAGAACAAUCAGGACCAAAAAAGGGUGAAAUAAAUUUUGAGUGGAUUACGUCUUUGAUUACUCUAUUACUUAGAUAAAGGUUAAUCCGAUACGCUUUUCUUAACUUUCAGCGAGCAACGGUUAAGGCAUGAAUUUAACUAGUUUAAUUUCUUUUUAUAAACAUUGUACAAUAAAUUUAUUACCUACAUGUGUAAUACUAGAAAUACCUACUUGUUUAU
rnacentral:lncRNA from 1 species